rnacentral:rRNA from 1 species
UACGUAGGGGCUAGCGUUAUCCAGAAUUACUGGGCGUAAAGGGUGCGUAGGCGGUCUUUCAAGCCAGAAGUGAAAUACCCGGGCUCAACUUGGGUGCUGCAUUUCAAACUGGAAGUCUAGAGUGCAGGAGAGGAGAAUGGAAUUCCUAGUGUAGCGGUGAAAUGCGUAGAGAUUAGGAAGAACACCAGUGGCAAAGGCGAUUCUCUGGACUGUAACUGACGCUGAGGCUCGAAAGCGUGGGGAGCAAACAGGAUUAGAUACCCCCGUA